GUAUAAGAGAAAGUACUUUUGUGCUGCUGAUAGAGGAGCCUGCGCUUGAUUAGCUUGUUGGUGGGGGUAAUGGCCUACCAAGGCGACGAUCAAUAGCCGGCCUGAGAGGGUGUACGGCCACACUGGGACUGAGACACGGCCCAGACUCCUACGGGAGGCAGCAGCUAAGAAUCUUCCGCAAUGGGCGAAAGCCUGACGAAGCGACACCGCGUGGAUGAAGAAGGCCGUGAGGUUGUAAAAUCCUUUUAUUGUUGAGGAAUAAUUAUUAUGCUUAAGUGUAAUAUGAUGACGGUAGGCAAUGAAUAAGCCCCGGCUAAUUACGUG
rnacentral:rRNA from 1 species